UGAGGUCCGGAAGGGAAGGAGAGCGACAGCUCAGCGCGCUUCGUGUCCCUUCCUCUGGCCUCACACAGAGCCUGCGCUGAGUUCCAGGUCCUCACUGUGAAAAAGAAGCUGCCUGCAGGUGUUUAGAUGACCAUAGGAAGAAAAAGCGAGAGAUAGAGGAAGUUAAAGAAGAAAUGUUGGCUGCCAUUGAAAACCAAUCACAAAUAAAGUUACAAAGUCAAUUGGAAAGCAAGUGAUUCUUCACAAAUGCAAAUCCUAGGACAGUGCCUGGCAGAGAGGAACUCCUCACUCCACCAUUCUAAUUCAAUAAUAGUCAGUUACUAAGGGCACAGCACUUUUAGGAGGAGCUCUCCCCUCUCCUACUUAUGCAGAGGGGCCAAAGGAUAUAUGACCAGGCUGUCAGCAUGGGCUUCGAAGCGCUUGCAUUGGGGAUGCUAAAGGAAGCAGGUGCUGAGCAUGAAGGAGAUCAGAAUCAAUGAGUUACACAGGCGUGUAUUCUCAACCAGAGGUGUGGCUGCACCAUUAAGCCAGGGAAAGGUGGGCUGGGACACAGGACUCAAAUAAUCCCUCUGGCUGGACCAACGCAGAGGCCAUGAAGACAGAGGAGUGGAAUGUUGGGGAAAGGAGCUUUUCCAUUUUUCUCUCCUUUCAGAGCCAUUUUGCCUGUUUUCAAAUCUAGUAACAGCAUUGCUUCACCAGCGCAGUGUUGUAGAUACAGCCUGUGGGUCACACCAGGAUGCAAUUACACUGCUGGCGGCACAGUGAGCCAAGAGGCUC
ensembl:lncRNA novel transcript